UACGUAGGGACCAAGCGUUGUUCGGAUUUACUGGGCGUAAAGGGCGCGUAGGCGGCAGAUUAAGUCAUCUGUGAAAUCUCCGGGCUUAACCCGGAAAGGUCAGCCGAUACUGCGGGGCUAGAGUGCAGAAGGGGCAACUGGAAUUCUCGGUGUAGCGGUGAAAUGCGUAGAUAUCGAGAGGAACACCUGCGGCGAAGGCGGGUUGCUGGGCUGACACUGACGCUGAGGCGCGAAAGCUAGGGGAGCGAACGGG
rnacentral:rRNA from 1 species